UCUUAACCAUCAGUUCAACACAUGCUGUGGGAGACAAAGGAGGAAAGUUUGUGGAGAGCAAAAGCUUAAAGAAACAAACCAAACCAAGAAAACUAAAAUCCCUCAGUUCACCGUCAAACGCAACUGGUUUUCAACCUGCUGCUGAAUGACUGAAUGACCCCUUCAUCAACAAAACAAAGUUCAAUAAAACAUAAAAAGGGGAAAUCCUUGUCAAGAGUUGUUCCUUGCGUGACCAAGCUCUUUCAAGUGGAGCAUUAACUGAGGGAUCAAA